ensembl:lncRNA
UCUCAAGGCUGUAAUUGUCCAAAAGCUUUCUAUGUGAAAAAAAAGGAUGUAUAUUAGUCAUAUGAAAUCUUUGAGCUAUAGGAUCUUUCUUAAUUUCUAAAUGAACCUUUUCCAGUUUAAGUAAUUUGCAGGGGCGAGGGGCAUGGAUUGUCACCUUUUCCAUUUUUUUCCUCAGAAGGAAUUGCUCUUUUUCCCUUUAGAAGGAAAUGAGUAGACAGAACAAAUACAGAAGACCCCAAAUAUCGAAAUCAGUAGUUUUAAAUUACAUAGAGUCAAACUUCUUAAGAUAUAAUUCUACCUGUAUUGCUGAAAAUAGAGCUGAGAAAUCUUUAGUUCUUGGCUUUUUUCCCAUUUUUGUAAGCAUUGUUAUCACUUCCUCUAUUGUGAAGUGUCUAUUAUGCAAUCCUGUUGGGAAUAGCUUUUCCUUCACGAGCAGCUCAUCAUGCUGUCAGCACAGAGCUCCCUGGAGACCACAGCAAGACUCCAAAGGGGAGCAUGGGGAGGAAAAAAGGCCCAUUUCCCCCAAGGAAGGACAAGGUUCCAGCCCAGAAAACUGAGUCAUCUUGGCCACCUGCACUCGUGUGUCCACUUGGAGCCUCUUCUAUUCUGACAACUUUGCAUCUUUUUUUCUCUGGACCCAGAAACAAGUAUGUCCAAGAAUCCUCCAAGAAUUCACCAGACGCUCUCCCCUGGUCAGAGAGCCAAUGCUCACCCGACUGAGUUCAAAACAACCUUGACCUUGGGUUUUGUUUUUGCAGAUGAAAAAAAAAAAAAAUGUGCCUUCAAAAGCACACCAGUGAAAUUCUUUCGUCAUACUUACAGUAUUUUUGUCCUCCGCUUUGAGUCAGAGGAGGCUUGCUAAAGGAAGAAGGAAAUCUAUUACACAGGCUCCCGGGAGUGAAGUCCCUCGGAGUCUGUAACUGCAGACUCGCAGUCCUCAGGGGGGGAAAUCCGGCAGUGGCACUAAGAUUUUGGUGACACCGUGUAUGUUCUUAAGACUUUGACUUCUGUCAGUCAGCACUACAGCCUAGAGAUCUUGCAACAAAAAGCAAGUUCCCAAUUCCUCCUACGGAUGCUCAGCGUCCUAACGUGGGUGUAGCAGCUUCCUACUAGCAGACGCUCCGGUUGUUUCUAUCACAAGAGCUGCUGCAGAAUGGAUGCAGGCAGAUCUUCAGGGCACACUGUCGGAGCGGGGAUGUGGGGUCCAACUGCUACCUGCCUUCAUGAGUCCUUUCCCAGCAAGAGUCCUCCUACAUCCAGCAGCUCAUGCCAAUAGGAGUUUCCACAAGUAAAGUCUGGGGCGGGGCUGCUUAUAAGGAUCCCAUGGCCGAGAGGGGACUGAGUUCUCGCAGGAUCCCGGGGGCAGAGCAGGCGCAGGCGCAGUUGCUGCUCCUGCACCAGAUCAAGGCUCUGGGUGCAGCGUCUCUGCACACGGCUCGCCCCCGCCAUCUUGAACAGAGUGAUGGGGGCGGAGCUUUUGCCGUUGUCGCCACCAUUUUGCACUAGGCAUCCUGUUGGGAAGAGCUGGAGGGAGGCCUUUGCACCGGGUGCCCUGGGAACCAGUGAACUAGACUCAGCGCAGAGAAAACAAGGUCAGACUAUCCUUUUUUAUCACCUAGGUUCUAUUUUUAUUCUCUGGGAAUUAUAAAUGGGCUUUUCUGGUGACAAACCCCUUCUCUGCCCUGUGUCUCCUCACUGUGUGGAUGGGAGAGGGCGCUGAGGGCCUGAGUCCUUUUCGGUGAGUGCUUCCUGCCGAGAAAGAGUGUCCGGUAACAUUGGGUGGAAGAGGGGAACUUCUUUUCAGGUCUGUUUGGUUGCCCACAGGCCUCGGCCUUGAGCAUACUCAUCCCUGGACGACCCCCAUUUGUGUAACCUUUGGGGGACAAAGGAACCCAGACAAUUUAAUGUCCCUGGCCCCUAUAUGGACAAGAGAAUAAUGCUCACAUGAGACAUUUUUCCUGAAAAUGCAGGUCUCUAGGCCUUUGACCCUGAUCCAAUGCUUGCUGUGGGGCCUGUCUCCCUGGCCACACUUGGGUAGUUUCUCAGAAGAGAAGCUUCGGGUCAGAGGGUCACAAGAGUGGUCCAGGGGUCUGUUACCCCAGGUCGUGUCUCUGGAGUUUGGGGCAGAAUAUUAGGUCCUGCUGGGUGACAGAGUUUCCAGCAAUGUGUAGGGAUCAGGGAUCCCAUAGGUGUAUACUCUAUGGCUUCACUGACUGCCCUGAUGUCCUGAACUAUCCAGUAUUCCCCAUUGGGUUUCCUUAUGGGAAGAAUGGGGUGUUAAAAGCUCAUUGGCCUGGUCUAAUAAAUAAGGCUCUGGUCAUUUAGGGUCUGUAUCA